GAUGCACUUUAAUCGGUAAGUUUGACUCCAUUUUAGUAGAUUCUCAGCUGGAAGUCCAGAUGAACGUGUUUAACAAAUGAACUCUUUUUGCCUGACAUGUUGAUGGUCCAAGUGUUGUGCUGCACAGAUCUUUGUUUUAAUCUGUCUCCAGAGAGAGCUGCUGCCUAAAUCUUCCAAGUUAAAAAACGAUGAACUGCUCAGAGAUGGCGCCUGAUACCAUUUGGCUAUUAGUUAUUGUGCUUGAUGGUUGGGAAAUUUUGUCAGAGUUCAUCUUGCUUCUUCAAUUACAGGCUCAAAAACUCAAGACAGCAUCGAGAACUACCAUCUGCUAAUUAGGCCUCUCGCACACCAGCAAUAUUAACUGAUUCUACUCAUUAGAGUGGACGAGGUAAUCGAUACACGGCAGACAGAGAUCCUCUAUCUCCAAGGAACUCGCGAUGAACAUGGGACAGAGGAAAUCCUGUCACAGAAAAUAGAGCUCAGUUGUGUGCAUCAGAUCUUAUGCUUAUAUUUGGACCUAUAAA
rnacentral:lncRNA from 1 species